UACGUAGGGUGCGAGCGUUGUCCGGAAUUAUUGGGCGUAAAGGGCUCGUAGGCGGUUUGUCGCGUCGGGAGUGAAAACUCAGGGCUUAACCCUGAGCCUGCUUCCGAUACGGGCAGACUAGAGGUAUGCAGGGGAGAACGGAAUUCCUGGUGUAGCGGUGAAAUGCGCAGAUAUCAGGAGGAACACCGGUGGCGAAGGCGGUUCUCUGGGCAUGUCCUGACGCUGAGGAGCGAAAGCAUGGGUAGCGAACAGG
rnacentral:rRNA from 1 species